AAAAAGUUAGUAUAUUUUAUUACAAAUGGUUGUCGGCUAUUAAAAGAGAAUUUAUUUCUCACUUUUUG
rnacentral:tRNA from 1 species